AUGGAAGCAGAUGCCGCGGCCACCUUGCUAGCCGGUAUACUCUCCAAGAGAGGAAUUGACGCACCGGUGAAGCAGUUGCAGAGGUUGAUUAAACUGGGGCAGCAAUGGGAACAUUUUUCGGAUACACACUUGUUAUUUUCCGUAUCGGAAUGGCGAGAUUUCGGAGAGACAAUGUGGCAUAAGACCAUCGAGGGUGGAGACAAGGACAAGAAGGAGGUUAAGGCGGUGCGAGCUCGACCGUCAGUCCCUCCGCCACCGCCCCCCCCGCAGCCCUUGCCUCCGUCCGCUCCUGAGGGAGCCAGCAGUGCGCCAUGCCCAGGGCCCUCGUCGCCGCCCGAACCAGGGGAGGGCAGCACAGCCCCGCCGAGGCUAUGGCGGGGGCCCCUGACAUUGUUAUCUCUGGAGUCGUCAGGCACAGCCUCGCCUACCACCCCCAUGGGGACAAAGCCGUCCACGGCUCAACUAUUAAAAAUGUUUGAGCAGCUGUCAGUAAAACUGGAAAAGCUGGAACUGAGGGACAGGAAAGUUGUUCGCGCACUUUGGAACACCGUACUAGAGACUUUAAUGGCAAUGAGCCGGUCUGUCGGGGAGGCACUGCAAAGGGUGUGGGAGAACUCCGAGGGGGGGGCAUCGUCAGCGCCGUCACCCGCUGCGUCCCAGAAAGCGGAGGUUUCCUCAGAGCCGGCUGGUCCGAGCUCUGAGGCAAACGCGGACGUGCACCCGGAGGAGGCUCAAAGAGGGGCGGCGGCCGCGCCCCUUGCUGACCUCAGAGACUUGGGCGGAAAGGAGGGCCGACCCCCUCCUAGUGCUCCCCCCCCGCCGCUGCCUAGCAACAAUCCCCUGUACCCACCGUUGCCGUUGUCUACGCCGCCUCAGCGGCCGCCGCCUCUACCCUCCUUCAACGAGACCGCCCGCUCACGCCAGACUCCAUCAGAGUACCCCCCACUGCUUUCGUCCAGCGAGUCUUCGGGGGACAACACGCCUGACACCAGAAAUAAAGUACCACCGUCACCAGAAGAAACCGUAAGAGUGCUACAGGAGCUAUCGGAAUGCCUGAAAAAAGUGGAGCUGCAGGCGCAAGAGAAAGAGGGAGGAGUACCUCCCUGCUUAAUGAAUCCCCUUGCCGGACCUCCAAGGGAGUCCCGCUGGAGUGGUAUUAUCAAGGACGCUAUAACAGAAGGACAAUGGAAGCCUGUUGCGGGGUCCGAGGGCCCCACAGAACUGGCGUUCCCCGUGCUACAACAGAAUGGUCAGGGGAAAUGGGAACCACAUGAUUGGAAAAAUUUUACAACAAGCCGCCAAGGGUUGGGAGCCCUUGGAGCUGAGGCAAAAGGGGGGCACCCAAUUUGGAAUAAUGGUACUCAAAAAAAAAAAAACCMCCAAUGGUGGAAAAAUGUAACAGGGACCAGGACCGCCACCCGUAGUAAACGGGCGGCCGUAGGGCUCUCACCAAACUGUGAUGAUAAGGUUACCCUACUCAGCCCCACUGAAAGAGUGUUUUUGUCUCUCUUCGUGCCUGGGGCAACAGCAGGCAACGCCUUAACCUAUUAG
ensembl:lncRNA